UCUGACAGCAGCCAGGGUCAUUACCAGUAAUUACUGAGCCAGCUCACAUAAACUCAGAAUUUCCUGGGGCUGUAGGCAUACAAUGACCAACAAAACUCAGCCUCCGCCCUUCAGGAAAUGUAAUCCAACAGGAGAGAUAAGACAUUAACCAGAUAAUAAAAUAUAGGGCAGUGAAAGGUACAAAGAAUAAAACCCUAGAAGAGGGAGCGCUAUCUUGUGGUUGAGAGAUAAGAUUCACUUUGAACAGUCAUCCGGAUUCCAAAGAUGAAGGUGAGAAAAGGGAGGCAUCCAGGGGUGGAAUUCCAGAGAAAGGUGGGAAUUCCAGCGAAGACUGGAUUGCUUGACAUGUUCAGGAGAUGGAUGGAGGCAGCCAGAGGGAGACGGGAGGCAAAGCCUCAUAGUGAAGCUGUAUCUUAAUCAUUUAAAGGCAUGCUGUUGUCCCAAUGCUGUUCUUGAUGUCACAAUGAGGAAAUGAGAAAAGGAGGGACUUUAAAGCAAUAUCAUGGAGAUAAGAAACCAGGAGAUUGCAGCAGUGUGAAAUACAUAUCUGACAACAUAAUCUCAACCCACAACUGGCUCAGCACCCACAGGAUGCCUCAAAAUAGAUACUUGCAUUCAGUCCCUGUGUGCCAGGCAACUGCACUGGUAGUUCUCUCCUGUGCACCAAGUGAAACCUCAACCUGGAGAGUGGAGGGUUCUUGACUCUGAACAAGAGAGAAUUCUUGAGCAGGUCAGAAGAGUAUAGGUGACGGCAAAUUCUGGCGCACUAAGACCCCCACCCCUUAAGAUCCAAUCACCACUGACCAGAUGGUUGCCCACCCCUUAAGAUCCAAUCACCAAUGCAGAACACACCCUACCCCUACUCCUUAAAAACGCUCUUCCUCACCCACGAGCUGCUGCUACCUCUCUCUCUCUAGGGGCAGCCACUUUCUCUUUCAGAUAAUAAAGUCUCUUGCAUGGGCCUCUGUCUCCUGAGUCGUUCUGGGUAAGGAGGGUCGCGGCGAGAUACCCUUUCAUUGGUGCCUUGACUUCGGAUGAGGCUCUCCCAUUGACUUUGCUCUUCCUCCAGGAACCUGAGCUGCUCUGGGAACCCUCACUGUCCGAUCCUCCUCCACCGGCUCACCGUCCACUUCCUCGGUUGCUCGUCUUCUUGCCUUCAAUUUGCUAUCAUAUGAAAAUGAUUAAUCAAGAAGGCUCACAGAGAACCAGCAUCAAAGAAACAGAAUCCAGCUAAUCAUUCCAAGAACCUUACGUUUCAGGAUAUAACUUCUGAAAGGCAAACACAGGCUGACUCCUGCCCACUGACCACCAAGUGCCAAAGUGUAUCCAAAAGCCAUCAUCAAAUCAUGGAGUAAGGACAUCUGUGGUCAAGACCAUCCUGUCACCUUAUGGGCAAAUCAUUAAGCCUGUGCUUUGCAUCCCUAAUGUUAAAUGCGCAUGGGGAUACCUUACAGGUGGGUGGAGAGGCAAAUGAGAUCAUGGAUGUGAAAGCUCUUGUAAGUUAUGUGGUGCCAUCCAGAUAGUGACCAUUAUUGCUUUCAUCAUGUCAGCCCACCCAAACCCACUGUGACUGCAAUCUCCCCCCUCUUGCUCCCUUCUAAUAAUAUAGACAGGAAACCCAGCGUCAUUUUGUUCUCACUCUCAUGCCUACACCCUGCCAGUCUUCACCACUUUGUCUCCAUUUUCACACUCGUGGACUCUCUGCUUCUAACCUAGCCUUGCUUGACUUCUCCCUGCUUGUUGCUGAGGAAACAAUCCUGCUAAAAUCUCACACUGAUUAUCUUUCCCUUGUUCAAAAACUUUCAAUAGUUUCUCAGCACCUGCAGAAUAAAGUACAAACUUCAAAGUAGGUAGAAUUAAAAACCAUUAACAAACUGGCCUUCCUCCCUAGAUAACAUCAGUGAGACAGAUACUCAGAAAUCAAAAUAUAAAUGUUACUGGGGACAGCUGCUAGUCUGCAGGAUAGGUUAUGUAGCCACAGAGGUCUGCCAACAAUUUUUGCUUCCUGCCUCUCCUAUCUUGACCUUGAGGAAGUCCAUCUGAGGCUUGCCUUCCUCUCUCCGGUCAUUUUAAGUGGAUAUUACCCAAAUUUAUCCCCAUUCCAGCCUCC